AUAGAAUCCAGACACUUGACAGUCAUAUGCACUCAUGCAGUUGCCCAUAAUGAAUGAUGGAGAAUUAUAUGCAAAAUAAAGACAAGAAAAUGCCAUAUCACCUAUACGUACUAUAGUAUGGUAGUUCUGCGUGAAGUAUGACGUCGUGCAGUUCAAAAAGCUUUCAGGUGAUGCAAUGUCCCUGGUCAGAGGAUCAAGCUGAGAGCAACCAGUUCGGUUCCUAUGGAAACAUUGUGGGCUACCUCACAAUCUGCCUUCCCCUCUCUUCUCACUCCAAGAACCCUGAUUUUACUGGAACAGCAACCAACUCAACCCAAGGAAUGGCUACUUACAGGCAGGACAGAAUGGAGUUUCCAAAUCUGGACUCGCCUUAUCCAGAAGCAGUAGACGGCAAGACCUGGAAAUCCAGGUCAGAAUCUGUGUGAACCCCAGAUCCUGUGCAAAUGUGCAGUGGACAUCCCGUUUUCCAGCCAACUUGAGUCCACAACAGAGAGAACACACAGAAGCAGCAGCCUUUUGUAAGCCCAAUAGGAAGCAUAAAUUUUGAAUAAAGGAAGUAAAGGAAAAAGAAGAUCCAAGGAUGAUAAAAGCCCUAACUUCCUGCAGUAUAAGAGCUACUACAGGAUAUCUUAAAGAGACCUCGAAACAUUUCACAAAACUGUCUUGGAGCAAAACAGUAUGAUAGAAAUAGAUGCUUACUAGUUAUUUUCAAAGAUGAAGAGUUUCCUUGAUAAUAUUAGCAGUCCAUACACCCCCUCCAUGCUAUUUCAUUGCAUAACACAAUGAUGAAACAAAAAACAUACAUCAUGGAAUUUGAACGUGGCUGGAAUUCCUGUUUAGAGACUUACAUAGACCAUUUUACCUUUUUUUA